rnacentral:rRNA from 1 species
GUAAACGGCGGCGUUAGCGUGAGCGUCUUAAGGUAGCGUGGUAAGUUGCCCUUUAAUUGGGGGCUGGUAUGAAAGGGUUAACGAAAGAGUCUCUGUGUCAUAAAACAUUUUUUUAAAUUAACCUUAAGGUGAAGAGGCCUUUUUACAGAAGAAGGACGACAAGACCCUAUGAAGCUUUAUCUUAUCUGGACACUAAAAAGUUUUGGAGUGGAUUUUAAUGGGAGAUUACUAAAAAUAAGUUUUUUAUUAUUGGUUUAUACUUACUGGUGGUAUCUAUUAUUAUAAGUAUGAUUAGCUACUCUAGGGAUAACAGCGUAAUUUUUCUCGAGAGAUGGUAUUGGAAGAAAAGAUUACGACCUCGAUGUUGGCUUUAAGUAUCCUGAAGGUGUAGAAACUUUCAAAGGUGGGUCUGUUCGCCCUUUAAAACUUAACAUGAUCUGAUUUUCAGACCGG